GACGAACCGUGCGAACGUUGUUCGGAUUCACUGGGCUUAAAGGGCGCGUAGGCGGACUCGCCAGUCUGUGGUGAAAGCCCCCAGCUUAACUGGGGAAGUGCCGUGGAUACUGCGAGUCUGGAGGAGGGUAGGGGCAUCUGGAACGCUGGGUGGAGCGGUGAAAUGCGUUGAUAUCCAGCGGAACUCCGGUGGCGAAGGCGGCUACCUGGACCAGCACUGACACUGAAGCACGAAAGCGUGGGGAGCAAACAGG
rnacentral:rRNA from 1 species